rnacentral:rRNA from 1 species
GACGAACCGUACAAACGUUAUUCGGAAUCACUGGGCUUAAAGGGUGCGUAGGCGGCGCGGUAAGUCGGGUGUGAAAUCUCGGAGCUUAACUCCGAAACUGCAUUCGAUACUGCCGUGCUUGAGGACUGGAGAGGAGACUGGAAUUUACGGUGUAGCGGUGAAAUGCGUAGAUAUCGUAAGGAAGACCAGUGGCGAAGGCGGGUCUCUGGACAGUUCCUGACGCUGAGGCACGAAGGUCAGGGGAGCAAACGGG